rnacentral:rRNA from 1 species
UGAUAUCUGCUUGAUAAAUUAACUGGAAGACUACCAGAUGGACCUGCGUUGUAUUAACUAGUUGGUGAGGUAACGGGUCCCCAAGGCAACGAUACAUAACCGACCUGAGAGGGUGAUCGGCCACCCUGGGACUGAAACACGGCCCAGACUCCUACGGGAGGCAGCAGUAGGGAAUCUUCGGCAAUGGACGGAAGUCUGACCGAACAACGCCGCGUGAGUGAAGAAGGUUUUCCGAUCGUAAAGCUCUGUUGUAAGAGAAGAACGAGUGUGAGAGUGGAAAGUUCACACUGUGACCGUAUCUUACCAGAAAGGGACGGCUAACUACGUGCCAGCAGCCCCGGUAAUNCCUAGGUCCCNAACGUUGUCCGGAUUUAUUGGGCGUAAAGCGAGCGCAGGCCCCUUAGAUAAGUCCGAAGUUAAAGGCUGUGGCUUAACCAUACUACGCUUUGGACACUGUUUNCCUUGAGUUCAGAAGGGAAAGUGGNAUUCCAUGUGUAGCCGUCAAAUGCGU